UAAGGAAUAUUGGUCAAUGGACGCAAGUCUGAACCAGCCAUGCCGCGUGGAGGAUUAAGGCCCUCUGGGUUGUAAACUCCUUUUAUCUGGGAAGAAAUGCAUUUUUUCUAAAGUGCUUGACGGUACCAGAGGAAUAAGCACCGGCUAACUCCGUGCCAGCAGCCGCGGUAAUACGGAGGGUGCAAGCGUUAUCCGGAUUCACUGGGUUUAAAGGGUGCGUAGGCGGGCAGGUAAGUCCGUGGUGAAAUCUCUGAGCUUAACUCAGAAACUGCCAUGGAUACUAUUUGUCUUGAAUAUUGUGGAGGUAAGCGGAAUAUGUCAUGUAGCGGUGAAAUGCUUAGAUAUGACAUAGAACACCAAUUGCGAAGGCAGCUUACUACACAGUUAUUGACGCUGAGGCACGAAAGCGUGGGGAUCAAACAG
rnacentral:rRNA from 1 species